rnacentral:rRNA from 1 species
GACGUAGGGCGUGAGCGUUGUCCGGAUUUAUUGGGCGUAAAGAGCUCGUAGGCGGCUCGUUGCGUCGGCUGUGAAAACCCGCAGCUCAACUGUGGGCUUGCAGCCGAUACGGGCGGGCUAGAAUUCGGUAGGGGAGACUGGAAUUCCUGGUGUAGCGGUGAAAUGCGCAGAUAUCAGGAGGAACACCGGUGGCGAAGGCGGGUCUCUGGGCCGAUAUUGACGCUGAGGAGCGAAAGCGUGGGGAGCGAACAGG